AGUUCAGAUUGCAGGCUGAAACUCGCCUGCAUGAAGUCGGAAUUGCUAGUAAUCGCAGAUCAGCAUGCUGCGGUGAAUACGUUCCCGGGCCUUGUACACACCGCCCGUCACACCAUGGGAGUCGGUAACACCCGAAGCCUGUAGUCUAACCGCAAGGAGGACGCAGUCGAAGGUGGGAUUGAUGACUGGGGUGAAGUCGUAACAAGGUAAC
rnacentral:rRNA from 1 species